rnacentral:rRNA from 1 species
GAUGAACGCUGGCGGCGUGCCUAAGACAUGCAAGUCGAGCGAACGGACGAGAAGCUUGCUUUUCUGAUGUUAGCGGCGGACGGGUGAGUAACACGUGGAUAACCUACCUAUAAGACUGGGAUAACUUCGGGAAACCGGAGCUAAUACCGGAUAAUAUUUUGAACCGCAUGGUUCAAAAGUGAAAGACGGUCUUGCUGUCACUUAUAGAUGGAUCCGCGCUGCAUUAGCUAGUUGGUAAGGUAACGGCUUACCAAGGCAACGAUGCAUAGCCGACCUGAGGGGGUGAUCGGCCACCCUGGAGCUGAGACACGGUCCAGACUCCUACGGGAGGCAGCAGUAGGGAAUCUUCCGCGAUGGGCGAAAGCCUGACGGCGCACCGCCGCGUGAGUGAUGACGGUCUUCGGAUCGUAAAACUCUGUUAUUAGGGAAGAACAUAUGUGUAAGUAACUGUGCACAUCUUGACGGUACCUAAUCAGAAAGCCACGGCUAACUACGUG